rnacentral:rRNA from 1 species
UACGUAGGGGGCAAGCGUUGUCCGGAAUCAUUGGGCGUAAAGAGCGUGUAGGCGGUCCGUUAAGUCGGCUGUGAAAGUCCAAGGCUCAACCUUGGGAUGCCGGUCGAUACUGCCGGACUAGAGUUCGGAAGAGGCGAGUGGAAUUCCCGGUGUAGCGGUGAAAUGCGCAGAUAUCGGGAGGAACACCUAUGGCGAAGGCGGCGACCUGGUCCGAUACUGACGCUGAGGCGCGAAAGCGUGGGGAGCAAACAGG